CUGGGGCGGUUGCCUCCCAAAAUGUAACGGAGGCGCCCAAAGGUUCCCUCAGCCUGGUUGGCAAUCAGGUGUUGAGUGUAAGUGCACAAGGGAGCUUGACUGUGAGACUUACCAGUCGAGCAGGUACGAAAGUAGGGCUUAGUGAUCCGGUGGUUCCGCAUGGAAGGGCCAUCGCUCAAAGGAUAAAAGGUACGCCGGGGAUAACAGGCUGAUCUCCCCCAAGAGCUCACAUCGACGGGGAGGUUUGGCACCUCGAUGUCG
rnacentral:rRNA from 1 species